rnacentral:rRNA from 1 species
GACGGAGGAUGCAAGUGUUAUCCGGAAUCACUGGGCGUAAAGCGUCUGUAGGUGGUCAAAUAAGUCAACUGUUAAAUCUUGAGGCUUAACCUCAAAAUCGCAGUCGAAACUAUUAGACUAGAGUAUAGUAGGGGUAAAGGGAAUUUCCAGUGGAGCGGUGAAAUGCGUAGAGAUUGGAAAGAACACCAAUGGCGAAGGCAGCUCUCUGGGACGGUACUGACGCUGAGACGCGAAAGCGUGGGGAGCGAACAGG